GGGGGGGGGGGGGGGGGGGGGGGGGGCGGGGGGGGCGGGCGGCGGCGGAGGGAGCGCGGGGGGGUGGGGGGGGCGGGGGGCGGGGGGGUGGGGGGGGGCUCGGGCUCGACUUUGUCGUGGGGGAGAGCGCGGGGAAGCUUACGCUGAUCGCGCAGACGACCUACGGGUGAACGCCGGGGCUCUCCGGCCCUUGCGCGCUUGACGGAGCCGAUGUCGGAUUAGCUAGUUGGCGGGGGAAAGGCCCACCAAGGCGACGAUCCGUAGCUGGUCUGAGAGGACGAUCAGCCACACGGGAACUGAGACACGGUCCAGACUCCUACGGGAGGCAGCAGUGGGGAAUAUUGGACAAUGGGCGCAAGCCUGAUCCAGCCAUGCCGCGUGGGUGAAGAAGGCCUUCGGGUUGUAAAGCCCUUUUGUUGGGAAAGAAAAGCAGCAGGUGAAUACCCCGCUGUUCUGACGGUACCCAAAGAAUAAGCACCGGCUAACUUCGUG
rnacentral:rRNA from 1 species